UAUUAGGAAAAGGGUUUGACAGAAAUGUCCUCUCCAGACAUGUAUCCUCUUCUAAAUUGUGAGCGGAAGUCCUUUAGUUUUGUUCUUGAGAAACUGAUCUCUUGGACAAUGCCAUCUUAUUGGUGCAUGCGCCAUUGUGCAACUCUACUUGCCAAGAAGUUUGUUUUGGCUCUGUAUACAUGUGAUUGCAUACUUUCUAUUGCGACACAGAAUUCGAUUGUCAGGGCCUUUCAUUUUAACAAGGAAGCGCAGAUAAGUCGAGAAAAGGGAGGCAUGACUAGAUGUUUUGUUAUACUGAGUACUGCCAUUGUAAUUGUAAGACACUUUACUGGACUGUGUUAUCUCAAAAGAGAUUUUUAUCGUCAGAAUGAAGUACCCUCAAGGUACCUCAAUCCUUUAAAAGAUCUUGUAGUUGCGGCAAGAAGAAUUAUUGUCCCUGACGGUCUUGUGCCAGUAUUUGAAAUCAUACCCAAGCAAAGGAAGUUUUUCUCGUUCUCUGGCAUGUCCUAACAAGGGGUAAAAUGUCUUUUGUCAAAUCGCAAAUCAUCUAAUAUAGAAAAUUAACAUUUCUCGUUUUCUUCCCCAUCGUUUCUUCAAUAGAAUCUCAGAUUCUCAGGUAAAUCUUUGAAGUACUAGAAAUCAACCAUGACUUUGAGAUUAAUAGCUAGGGUUUUAGGAUGAUUCUUGUGAAGCCAUAACGCAGAAGCAUAAAACCCUUCUUUAUCUGAUUUACCAGUAUCUCUCACACCUCUCAAGUUACAUAUCAACUUCAAAGCUGUUAACGGAUCUCGUUUAGAACCCUUUACUCGGUUGAUUCAAGAAUACGAGGAAUCUGAGUGUGCAAAGCUAAUGAAGGGUUUAAUAAGUGGUUCUUCCUCCUCCUCCUCAAUUAAUUCCUGAUUUGAAAUCCAAACUAAUUUUCAGUGUUAAUCUGAAGAGAAUCUAAGGAAAGAAAGAAGGAAAAAUGUGUAAUGGAUUCUAGUGAGAGAAGAAGGAACAGAGAAUGUGUGUAGAAGAAGAGUUGCAGUAAAUGAUGUCAGUCAUGGCGUGUGGGGACUCAUAAAGCUUGAUCACGUGGGACUAAACAGUGCCAGAGUGUUACUUUAGUUUAGUAUAUAGUUCUUGGUUUGUCCAUCUUAUUAAAAACCAAUAGAGAAAUAGGAUGGUUUAUGAUAAUGAGGUUGCAGAGAAAGAUUGCGCUCUGUGUGAAAUACUGCAUAUGAGUUGCAAGUCUUUUAAUAUAGUAGGGUGCGGUCUGUGAGAGAGUAGUUGAACGCUUUUUUUCUCUCCCUUGUCAGAAUCAGUUAUGUGUUAUGAUGGAGCUUCUUGUGGAAUCCUGGAGAGUCUGGGUAUAGAUUCAUUGGCAGAGCAAGUGAUGUGUGAUUUACUGGUAUUAUAUUAGCUGUUUCUGGUGGCUUUGCAUAAUAAUUUUUAUGUGCUUUGUUUUAGGACUGAUUCUAGAAGCUGUUAUUUCUGCUUUUUCGUCUGUGGUUUGCAAUAACCAGAUGGAACAGGAUUUGUAGUUUGUUAACUGAGUGGUCUUUUGUUCAUAGUUAAGCGUGGUGCUCGCCCUUAGCUGGAGGGGAGUGCCUUAUAUAUGUAUAUGUCCAAGUACAUCUUGUUGUGUACUGCUCUUGCAACAGGGAAAUGCAUUAGUAAAUGCCAGAUUAAAAGAUUUAUUUGGUGAUCUUAGUACUUAUUCCAUCUUCGUAGAUGAUGAUUGAAGAAGAAGGUCAAUAUGAACAGCUUUUGGUGAUGAUGUUGUUAUAUGAAGAACAAGGUCACGUGAAGAACAUGGAAUUGGGCUGGGAUUCAUCGUCGAUUUUGAAAAGAAUAAAACUCGUUUCUUGAGACUAUAAAUGGCUUUGUGCCUAGCAGGAUAUUUCUGUUUGUUCAUUUUUCCCUAGUUAGAUUGGCAGUACCAUUGGGUACAUAUUUAGAUAGGUUAGAUCUUAUUUGCUCAGUUGUUGCAAGAUUUAUUUCUUUUGUUUUUUGGAAGUAUUUUCUGUAUACA